GGAGAGAUGGCUGAGUGGNUGAUAGCCCCGGUCUGAAAAC
rnacentral:tRNA from 1 species